rnacentral:rRNA from 1 species
AGGUCAAGCAAUAAGGGCACAGGGCGGAUGCCUUGGCACUAAGAGCCGAUGAAAGACGUGAUAAGCUGCGAAAAGCUUCGGGGAGGAGCAAAUAUCCCGUGAUCCGGAGAUGUCUGAAUGGGGAAACCCGCAUGAGCAGACCUCAUGCAUCCAUACGCCAAUCCAUAACGUAUGGAAGGGAACCCGGGGAACUGAAACAUCUAAGUACCCGGAGGAAAAGAAAGAAACAUCGAUUCCGUAAGUAGCGGCGAGCGAACGCGGAGGAGCCUAAACCGGUGUGCGUGCAUGCCGGGGUCAUGGACUGCAUUUAAGAUUCAGCGAAGUUAACAGAACGGUUUUGGGAAAGCCGGCCGAAGAGGGUGAAAGCCCCGUACGUGAAAGCAGAGCUGACUGAGCAGGAUCCGGAGUACCACGAGACACGAGGAACCUUGUGGGAAGUAAGGGGGACCACCCCCUAAGGCUAAAUACUACUUAGUGACCGAUAGCGCAUAGUACUGUGAAGGAAAGGUGAAAAGGACCCCGGGAGGGGAGUGAAAGAGAACCUGAAACCCUGUGUCUACAAGCUGUGGAAGUACUUUAUAUGUACGACCGCGUACUUUUUGUAGAACGGUCCGGCGAGUUACGCUUACUGGCAAGGUUAAGCACUUCAGGUGUGGAGCCGUAGGGAAACCAAGUCUUAAUAGGGCCAGAGUCAGUAGGAGUAGACCCGAAACCGGGUGAUCUAUCCAUGUCCAGGUUGAAGCUGCCGUAAGAGGUAGUGGAGGACCGAACCCACAUCCGUUGAAAAGGGUGGGGAUGAGGUGUGGAUAGGGGAGAAAUUCCAAUCGAACCCGGAGAUAGCUGGUUCUCCUCGAAAUAGCUUUAGGGCUAGCCUCGGUGUGAGUCUUGCGGAGGUAGAGCACUGAAUUUCCUAGGGGGCGUCAAAGCCUACCGAAGAAUAUCAAACUCCGAAUGCCGUGUAGAUAUCACCGGGAGUCAGACUGCACGAGAUAAGUUGGGCGGUCAAAAGGGAAAGAGCCCAGACCUACAGUUAAGGUCCCAAAGUGCGCGUUAAGUGGAAAAGGAUGUGGGAUUUCGAAGACAACCAGGAUGUUGGCUCAGAAGCAGCCAUACAUUCAAAGAGUGCGUAAUAGCUCACUGGUCGAGAGGUCCUGCGCCGAAAAUGUCCGGGGCUGAAACGCGCCACCGAAACUAAGGAAUCUGAAAAGAUUGGUAGAGGAGCAUUGCAUGCGGGAAGAAGCAGUACCGGAAGGAGCUGUGGACUGCAUGGAAGAGAGAAUGCCGGAAUGAGUAGCGAGAUAGAGGUGGGAAUCCUCUAGGCCGAAUAUCCAAGGUUUCCAGGGUAAAGCUGAUCUGCCCUGGGUGAGUCGGGACCUAAGGUGAGGGCGAGAGCCGUAGCCGAUGGACAACAGGUUGAUAUUCCUGUACUGCAGUAU